rnacentral:rRNA from 1 species
AUUGAACGCUGGCGGCAGGCCUUACACAUGCAAGUCGAACGAGUGGCGGACGGGUGAGUAAUUUAUGGGAAACUGCCCGGUGGAGGGGGAUAACUACUCGAAACGGUAGCUAAUACCGCAUACCAUCUGAUCGGCCCAGAUGGGAUUAGCUAGUGGGUGGGGUAAAGGCUCACCUAGGCAACGAUCCCUAGCUGGUCUGAGAGGACGAUCAGCCACACUGGAACUGAGAGACGGUCCAGACUCCUACGGGAGGCAGCAGUGGGGAAUAUUGCACAAUGGGCGCAAGCCUGAUUCAGCCAUGCCGCGUGUAUGAAGAAGGCCUUCGGGUUGUAAAGUACUUUCAGCGGGGAGGCGUUACGCGCAGAAGAAGCACCGGCUAACUCCGUGCCAGCAGCCGCGGUAAUAC